CGCCUCUUGCAAAAUUAAUAAAUAAGAGGUCUCGCCUGCCCUGUGACUAUAUGUUUAACGGCCGCGGUAUUUUGACCGUGCAAAGGUAGCGUAAUCACUUGUCUUUUAAAUGAAGACCCGUAUGAACGGCACAACGAGGGCUUAACUGUCUCUUCUUUCAAGUCAAUGAAAUUGAUCUCCCCGUGCAGAAGCGGGGAUAUGUACAUAAGACGAGAAGACCCUGUGGAGCUUCAGGCACCAAAGCAGAAUAUGUUAAGUACCCCAGACUAAUGAUUGAAACAACUUAUAACCUGCCCUAAUGCCUUCGGUUGGGGCGACCGCGGGGAAAAGAAAAACCCCCAUGUAGAAUGGAAGCACAGCUUCUACAACUAAGAGUCCCCACUCUAACUAACAGAACCUCUGACUAACAAGAUCCGGCAAUGCCGAUCAACGGACCAAGUUACCCCAGGGAUAACAGCGCAAUCCCCUUUUAGAGCCCAUAUCGACAAGGGGGUUUACGACCUCGAUGUUGGAUCAGGACAUCCUAAUGGUGCAGCCGCUAUUAAGGGUUCGUUUGUUCAACGAUUAAAGUCCU
rnacentral:rRNA from 1 species